AGAAACUUAGGUUAACAUAAACCAAGGGCCUUCAAAGCCCUAAACAGAAGCAUUUCUUCUAGUCUCUG
rnacentral:tRNA from 1 species